CUUUCCGCCAGGGUAACUGUAGGUUCAACCAAUAUAUGUUCUGAUGACUUAUUGUGUUUACUUAAGUGUUUUUCACAAAAAGAAGCAUCGCACUGCAGACAGGACUUCACAGCCGGUGCAGGAGAAUCGCAGGCCGGACGCUCCGGAUAUUCUGCUCUGCAGUCAGGACAGGAAUAACCUCCAGACCCGUCCUGUGUAUCCAGCACCAGAAUAAUACACGAGCGGCAGAAGUUGUGUCCACAUCUCAGAGAUACAGGAUCUGUAUAGAGGCUCAGGCAGAUGGAGCAGUUCAGCUCGUCCCUCAGGCAGAUCAUGUCACAUCCAAAUUUGUGCACCGUCUUCCAGGUGAGAUCGUUUAUGAGGCACAUUAAGGCCAUUUACAUUAAGACUGGCUGCUCUAAUCACCAUAAUGAGAAGUGGUAUAAGGUAAGCUGAAAAAUACGCAUGUAAUCAGAUAAGGAAGAGAGUGCGCCCCCCAGCCAGCACGCACUCCCUAUAUGUACAGGGCAACACAGGUAUGCAGACAUCACAUUUCUUUGGCAAGUGUGGAGAAGGAGGAGAAGCACAAAUAACAAAGAGCAUAAAACAACUGAAACAAAACAUAACCAAGACAUUUGGCUAAUUUAGCAAAAGCCAACUGACAUUUGUGGGCUAAAGUCCGUACUGAAGCCACGGUGGAGGCGGCAGCAGACUGGCCCCUUAACCUGAAGAAAAUUUUAGCAAAGGUAUAAUGCAUCACAUCACCCAAAUUGCUGUAGUGGACCUAGGAUAUCGGGAGUUAUGUAGUUUGGAGCGAAAGGUAGGAGGGUGGGGAGAACUACUCCGGGACAGACAGUGCUAGGUUCCAGGAAGAGAGUAGGGAUUGACCUUCAGCCAAAGAUUUAACAACGUGGACUGUGUCUCCUCUCUUAAUCAGUAAGUGUACUGGAAAACCCAAGUGGUAGUCAAUGUUUACAGAACGGAGGGAGAGAGUUAUCGGUUGCAGGUCUCCACGGGCCUGCAGACAAGUCCGCAUAGAUAGAAAUUUUGUGAUAUGGGGCAGGAGACCGCCAUUCCUCCUAGCAAAUUCCAUAAGUUUCUCCUUUACGAUGAAAGAAUGGACUCUUGCCAAAAUGUCUCUGGGGACACUAUCGUCCAGAUGUUUGGGCCUUUGAACCCGAUGAGCCCUGUCAACUUCGACCUCUUGGGGGAGCAUGCAGGUAGGGCGGUUUUAAUGGAGGGACCUGACGUAUUGCGGAAUGUUAGCAGGGAGGACUGUUUCAGGUACCCCUCUAAUUUUUACAUUAUUCCUGCAGCUCCUAUCCUCAAGGUCUGCUACUUUAGCUUUUAAGGCCGCAAUAUCAUCUGUGAUGUCGUUGUGUGAGUCAAUGAGGGUAUUGUGGGAAGCAGAAAAUUCCUCAAAUUUGGAUUCCAUGUGUACCAUCCUGCUUGUGAGAUCAGACAGUGAGGCGUUAAUGGGGGCAACAAUAUGGUGGAUAUCAACUAGAAAGGUCUUGCGUAAAGCUAAUAACAUGCCCUUCAUGGUAGUAUCAGUGAGUGAGCUGUGUGACACUUCAAAUGAGGUCAACUCGUCAGUGGGGUCGCAGGGGGUCCGGGCAAGGGGCCCCAUGCACAUACCUCUAAGGCAUCUGCCGGUGUGUCCAGGCGAGGAUGUUGUUUAGCAGGGCUAUGAGUAGGAGUGGAGGCUGGUGAGCUCCAGUUCACUCCUCGUUGUGCAGAAGCCGCCAGAGCAGACAGGAGCAGUUCCACUGCACUGUACGCAGAGGAGACUGAGGCAGCAGGAGAUGCUGGGAGUCUCGUGGUGCCCGGAGAUCGUUCAUGUAUAGCCGGGUCAGAGGAGGACCUGCGGGGAUGAAGCGGAGCGGGUGAGGACUCCCGGGUCCGUGCAGCAGGCUGAGAGGCAGAGGGAGGUGCGCGGUCUCUCUAGUCGGUGCCAUCUUGGAGACUGGGUGUGGUACAGGAGAAGUAGAAAGAGGUGAGCUUCUCCUGUCUUCCUGCCCUUCUUUUGCGUGCCAGCAUUCUUGGGGAUCCCUCAGACACCCCUUGACGCUUUUUCUCAGGCAAUGUGAGCUAGGUUUAGCCGUUAUAAGGAGCCAGAGUGACGGAGCUCUGUUAGCUAGCGGACAUCCACCACGGCAGCCAAGCCACGCCACGCCCCCCCCCCCCCCCCCCAGAAGAUGACAAUUUUAAACGUAUUCAUUUUCCUGCAUGUAGUUAUGAUUUUUUCCAGAAG